GACGAACGCUGGCGGCGUGCUUAACACAUGCAAGUCGAACGGAAAGGCCCUGCUUUUGUGGGGUGCUCGAGUGGCGAACGGGUGAGUAACACGUGAGUAACCUGCCCUUGACUUUGGGAUAACUUCAGGAAACUGGGGCUAAUACCGGAUAGGAGCUCCUGCUGCAUGGUGGGGGUUGGAAAGUUUCGGCGGUUGGGGAUGGGCUCGCGGCUUAUCAGCUUGUUGGUGGGGUAGUGGCUUACCAAGGCUUUGACGGGUAGCCGGCCUGAGAGGGUGACCGGCCAAAUGGGGACGGAGAUACGGCCCAGCCCCCUAGGGGGGGCAGCAGGGGGGAAUAUUGAACAAGGGGGGGAAGCCGGAUGCAGAACCGCCGGGGGGGGGAUGAGGCCCUUCGGGUGGUAAACCGCUCCCGCCUGGGAAGAAGGGUGGGUGGCGGUAAUGGGAAAAGAAGCACCGGCUAACUACGU
rnacentral:rRNA from 1 species